GGACCUCCACCCGCACCACCGCAUUUCCUUGGCAGGCCAGGACCUCCACCCGCACCACCGCAUUUCCUUGGCAGGCCAAAUGAAGAACAGGAAGAGGAGGAAGCGGCUAUUCCUCCUCAAGUCGAGGCCACUCCACACUUAGUAAGUUUUUAGAUGCUAAGUUGGUAGAUACGUUGGUGAGGUACAUUGAAUUACUAAAACAGGUAUAAUUACUGCAUCCCGUGCUAUAACGAGGUAGGGAAUGUAGACAAAUAAUCAAGAAAAUAGCGCUUGAAAAUUCCGCUCCUUACUCACUUGUGCCUGUACUUGCCUCACUGCAGUUCUGGUGUUGGAAUGAGGUAAGCACCCAUGCUUGGUGCUGGUCUCGAAGCUGAAAAGAAACAUUUGCUUGCUUACGUUUCCUCUUAAUAAGGCAACUUAACUCCUAGUAUCUAUUUAAUAGCUUUAUUAGACAUUAUUUUUUCUCUCUCUCUCUCUCUCUCUCUCUCUCUCUCUCUCUCUCUCUCUCU